CAUGUGAUGUGACAGAGAGGAGCAGUGAUAUUUUCAGCAAUCACUUGUGGGAAUUACCUAGGAUCGAGAGAGAGCCAUGACCUCCCUGCCCAUUCCACACUGUCGGCAUGUGACUUUUCUUAUACCCUUUCACUGCUGGGCCCUCACAUGUGCCUGGAAAUGCAAACAACUUUCCUCUCUGAGCCAGUCACAGGAAGGAUGCAGCCAGGAAGACCAGUGAGGCUACCUUUCCACAGUACUGGGAACAUCUCCGCUGAAAACCCAUCAUGGUUCUGGGUCAAAAGCAGCACGGAAACAAGUGGAAUUGCCUGCAGACUCAUUCUGAAUAAAGGGUGGGUCCACAUGGAGAAGCCUGCAUCCAGAUGUGCUUGUGAUUGGCUCUGCUUCUAAAGUGUGGAUGCUAUUUUGAGAAGGCUGUUGUAGAUACAGUAUCUCCAGAUCUUACAUCUCAACUUUAAGCCCACUGGAAGAGUGAGAAUCUUUA
rnacentral:lncRNA from 1 species